GAUGAACGCUAGCGGCAGGCUUAACACAUGCAAGUCGAGGGGCAGCAUGAUCGAACUUUCGGGUUUGAUUGAUGGCGACCGGCGCAAGGGUGCGUAACGCGUGAGCAACUUGCCCUCAUCAGGGGAAUAACCGUUGGAAACGACGACUAAUACCCCAUAGCACAUAUUUAAGGCAUCUUUUAUAUGUUAAAGAAUUUCGGAUGAGGAUAGGCUCGCGUGACAUUAGCUAGAUGGCGGGGUAACGGCCCACCAUGGCGACGAUGUCUAGGGGUUCUGAGAGGAAGGUCCCCCACACUGGAACUGAGACACGGUCCAG
rnacentral:rRNA from 1 species